rnacentral:rRNA from 1 species
CCUACGGGAGGCAGCAGUGAGGAAUAUUGGUCAAUGGGCGCGAGUCUGAACCAGCCAAGUAGCGUGAAGGAUGACUGCCCUAUGGGUUGUAAACUUCUUUUAUAUGGGAAUAAAACAGGGCAUGCAUACCCUCCUGUAUGUACCAUAUGAAAAAGGAUCGGCUAACUCCGUGCCAGCAGCCGCGGUAAUACGGAGGAUCCGAGCGUUAUCCGGAUUUAUUGGGUUUAAAGGGAGCGUAGGUGGAGUGUUAAGUCAGUGGUGAAAAUUUGGGGCUCAACCGUAUAAUUGCAGUUGAAACUGGCAGUCUUGAGUACGGGAGAGGUGUGCGGAAUGCGUGGUGUAGCGGUGAAAUGCAUAGAUAUCACGAAGAACUCCGAUUGCGAAGGCAGCUCACUGGACUGCAACUGACACUGAUGCUCGAAAGUGUGGGUAUCAAACAGGAUUAGAUACCCGGGUAGUC